rnacentral:rRNA from 1 species
GACGGAGGGUGCUAGCGUUGUUCGGAAUGACUGGGCGUAAAGGGCGCGUAGGCGGCUCGUGAAGUCGGGUGUGAAAAUCCAGGGCUUAACCCUGGACCUGCAUCGGGUACGGGCAGACUAGAGUGCGGUAGGGGAGAUCGGAAUUCCUGGUGUAGCGGUGAAAUGCGCAGAUAUCAGGAGGAACACCGAUUGCGAAGGCGGGUCUCUGGGCCGAUACUGACGCUGAGGAGCGAAAGCGUGGGGAGCGAACAGG